UUUUUCAGUGUAGUAGUGACAAAUGCACCGGCAUCAGUUCCAACUGCCAUUUAAGUUUUUGUUACAAAGUCAACAACGAUGUGGAGCACGAGGUGGAGCAUAUAAAACGAAAUAUGUAUGCCGAAAACGAAAAUAAAACGGAUCAGAAUUCAUAUGCAUCUACAAAAAAAAAUAAAAAACUCGAAGGGUAUGUCAUUGUACGAUCGGAUUUGGUUGAGCCGCGAAAAAACGGAUCAAGCAGCACGAUCGAAAUUUGCGAAGAGUCACUGAUGGAAGAUGGAAGGUGAUCCAAGUAACGCACAAAAAAGCGCAAAGCUUUCAAAUAAUCAUGAGGCAGAAGUUUAACAAGUGAACUUAAAGCUAGAAAAACUUAAAAAGAAACAAUUUUAGGAAUUAUGAGACCGGUACGGCUCGGUGAUGCAUCGAUAAUAAGAGAAUCACAUACAUUCCGGUGAUCUUUUUGAAUAGUAUAAGAAAACAGUUAAAAAAAUAUAAAAAAGAUAAUACAAUGUAAAUAAAACUUGUUAAAUGCUCAAUGAUUU